rnacentral:rRNA from 1 species
UACAGAGGCCUCGAGCGUUAGGCGGAAUCACUGGGCUUAAAGCGUGUGUAGGGGGAUGCCUAAGUACCUUGUGAAAUCCCACAGCUUAACUGUGGAACUGCUUGGUAUACUGGGUGUCUUGAGCCACUCAGGGGCUACCGGAACAAGCGGUGGAGCGGUGAAAUGCGUAGAUAUCGCUUGGAACGCCAAUGGUGAAAACAGGUAGCUGGGGGUGUGCUGACACUGAGACACGAAAGCCAGGGGAGCAAACGGG